CCAUUUUGGGUUUGAAUUCAAGUCCAAGACUGAAAAUUGGUUCUCGCCAAUAAGUUUGUUUCUCAUUAAUAAAUUUUUGAAAAUGGGAGCCUGCCGCCUGCUGGGAAACUCUCUUUCUCAAACGUUUGCUACUCUUCAUCUUGGCCAUGGCAUAGUGGCAUUCGAUCAAUCCCUAAUUAGCGAUCUAUUGGACUGAGGUUUCGAUGGAUCUCGUAAUCGAGCCUACAUCUUAAAUCUUUGUUGAUGCGUAAAACAAGUAUGUUCCCUUGGGACUGUAAUUUACUAAUGCCACAUUGGGAGCAUGGAAUUUGAGCCUCGACAAUGUUUGAGGGUAAAACACUUCUAUUUAUCCUUCAGGCACUAAAACGCCACCAAAUUGCUGGCAGGUGUUGGACGUUGAUGCUUUCCUUGUGCCAAUUUGUCAUUAAUACUCAGGCUAAAUUUUGGUGUUUUCACUUCAAAAUAAUGAUGACAGCACAUGCUUUGAUUAUUUUAAGUUUUUGGUGUACACAAUAUAUAAUUGAAAGGAGAAGCAGAAAGAUGGUGUCACAUGCAGAUGAUUUAAAGGGGGAAGUACAGAAGAUAGGAUGCAAUAAGUACAACAGGGGAAGAGGACAAGCCACCACUAUUGCUCUAGCUAAGCUCUAAUCUUAGGCUGCUCUGUGUACACAAGUGGAUAUUAAGAUAUACACUGUGCAUUUUAAUAUUUGAUUAAAAUAAGCAACAAAUAUUUGGAGCUGGUCGGUAACUAUGAGUCUUGCUGCUGAUUUCUCUUACAAUAAGGAUUAUACAGCUGACAUCCAUCUUCA